AGGCUUAACACAUGCAAGUCGAGGGGUAACAGGAGUAGCUUGCUAUUUGCUGACGACCGGCGCACGGGUGCGUAACGCGUAUAGAAUCUACCUUAUACUGGGGGAUAGCCUUUGGAAACGAAGAUUAAUACCCCAUAGUAUUAUUUUUUGGCAUCAUUAAAUAAUUAAAGUUUCGGCGGUAUAAGAUGACUAUGCGUUCUAUUAGUUAGUUGGUAAGGUAACGGCUUACCAAGACUUCGAUAGAUAGGGGUCCUGAGAGGGAGAUCCCCCACACUGGUACUGAGACACGGACCAGACUCCUACGGGAGGCAGCAGUGAGGAAUAUUGGACAAUGGAGGCAACUCUGAUCCAGCCAUGCCGCGUGUAGGAAGACUGCCCUAUGGGUUGUAAACUACUUUUAUAUGGGAAGAAUAAGGUCUACGUGUAGAUUGAUGACGGUACCAUAAGAAUAAGCACCGGCUAACUCC
rnacentral:rRNA from 1 species